rnacentral:pre_miRNA from 1 species
ACAUCGUUUUUUAUCAUCGGUCUACCGAGCAAUUUCACCCGUUCGGUGGAAGAUCUUCCCUGUGACGU